rnacentral:rRNA from 1 species
UACGGGGGGGGCAAGCGUUGUUCGGAAUUACUGGGCGUAAAGGGCUCGUAGGCGGCCAACUAAGUCAUACGUGAAAUCCCUCGGCUUAACCGGGGAACUGCGUUUGAUACUGGAUGGCUUGAGUUCGGGAGAGGGAUGCAGAAUUCCAGGUGUAGCGGUGAAAUGCGUAGAUAUCUGGAGGAAUACCGGUGGCGAAGGCGGGUCUCUGGGCCGAUACUGACGCUGAGGAGCGAAAGCGUGGGGAGCAAACAGG